rnacentral:lncRNA from 1 species
CACAAUCACACGCACGCAUGGAAAUUAAUUGACUAGUCGCCAUGCAUGCAUGACCUCUCUGGCGGGCCGGCCGGCCACCUCUCCAAGUCCAGGCACAGAUCUUGACACGGAUCCAUCACAAGAACCUUGUCUCCAUGGUCGGCUACUGCAAAGAUGGGGUGUACAUGGCGCUUGUCUACGAGUACAUGUCAGAAGGAUCCCUGCAGGAGCACAUUGCAGGUGUGUACGUGUAUACUGUUUAGCUGUUUACAACUUCUGUUGAUCUGAAUUAAUUUCUCAUGCAUGCUAAAUAUAUGUCGUUCUUCUGUAUAUAGGAAAACGCUUGACUUGGGGGCAGAGGCUUCGAAUCGCAUUGGAAUCAGCGCAAGGUAUACAAAAUCAUACACACUAGAUUGCAUCUACAGUAACAAGUCAUCUUAACUCGUGUUGUUAAAGGUGUUAUUUGGCUUGAGUGAUGGCAUGUAGGGCUAGAGUAUCUGCACAGGGGCUGCAACCCGCCUCUGAUUCACAGGGACGUGAAGACCAGCAACAUCCUACUGAACGCGAAACUGGAGGCCAAGGUUGCUGAUUUCGGCAUGUCAAAGGCUCUAGACCGCGACACCUAUGCGUCCACGAACACUCUUGUUGGCACACCAGGAUACGUCGACCCAGAGUACGUACGUCGUCCAUGAUCAUGGAAUUAUCCAUAACGUACGUACGAUAGAAAUAGAAUUCAGAAUUACCCAUACGGACGUCGUGCAUGCAGGUACCUGGAAACAAUGCAGCCAAGCACCAAGAGCGACGUGUACAGUUUCGGCGUGGUGCUCCUGGAACUGGUCACAGGGAGAC